GGGCUCACUUCAGCAGCACAUAUACUAAAACUGGAACAAUACAGAGAAGAUUUACAUGGACCCUGUGCAAGGAUGACAUGCAAAUUCAUGAAGCAUUCCAUAUUUAA
ensembl:snRNA U6 U6 spliceosomal RNA